AACGAACGCUGGCGGCAGGCCUAACACAUGCAAGUCGAGCGAAGACUCCGGUCGUUUCGGCGGACGGGGGUGGAAGGCGUGGGGAGGUGCCCUUUGCUUCGGAAUACCUCUGGGAAACUGGGAGUAAUACCGGAUGAGCCCUUAGGGGGAAAGAUUUAUUGGGGUAGGUUCGGCACGCGUUGGAUUCGGUAGUUGGGAGGGUAAUGGCCUACUAAGCGGUGGAUGCAUAGCUGGUUUGAGAGAAUGAUUAGCCACGCUGGGACUGAGACACGGCCGAGAAUCCUACGCAAGGGAGCAGUGGGUAAUCUUAGACAAUGGAGGAAACGCUGAUCUAGCCAUGACGGGUAAGCGCUGAUGGCCGUAGGGAUCUAAUGCUCUUUCAGCUGGGAAGAUAAUGACGGUACCAGCAGAAGAAGCCCCGGCUAACUCCGUG
rnacentral:rRNA from 1 species